rnacentral:rRNA from 1 species
GGUUUCCAUAGGUGAACCUAUGGAAGGAUCAUUA